GACCAGACUCCUACGGGAGGCAGCAGUGGGGAAUAUUGCACAAUGGGGGGAACCCUGAUGCAGCAAUGCCGCGUGAAGGAUGAAGGUUUUCGGAUUGUAAACUUCUUUUGUACGGGACGAAGAAAGUGACGGUACCGUAAGAAUAAGCCACGGCUAACUACGUGCCAGCAGCCGCGGUAAUACGUAGGUGGCAAGCGUUAUCCGGAUUUACUGGGUGUAAAGGGCGAGUAGGCGGGAUUGCAAGUCAGAUGUGAAAACUAUGGGCUCAACCGAUAGAGUGCAUUUGAAACUGUAGGUCUUGAGUAUCGGAGAGGCAGGCGGAAUUCCUAGUGUAGCGGUGAAAUGCGUAGAUAUUAGGAGGAACACCAGUGGCGAAGGCGGCCUGCUGGACGACAACUGACGGUGAGGCGCGAAAGCGUGGGGAGCAAACAGGAUUAGAUACCCCCGUA
rnacentral:rRNA from 1 species